CAAAUACUCGCUCCGUCCGGAAAUAGUUGUCAUCAAAAUGGAUAAAAGGAAAUGUAUCUAGACGAUACAUCUCUUUUUAUCCAUUUUGAUGACAAGUAUUUUCGAACGGAGGGAGUAUUUA
rfam:Triticum aestivum genome assembly, contig: Triticum_aestivum_CS42_TGACv1_scaffold_499575_6BL